rnacentral:rRNA from 1 species
GGGUGAGUAACGCGUAUGCAACCUACCUUUAACAGAGGGAUAGCCCAUAGAAAUGUGGAUUAAUACCUCAUAGUCCUUUCGGUCCGCAUGGAUUGAAAGGUAAAGCCACCAGGCGGUUAAAGAUGGGCAUGCGUGACAUUAGCUGGUUGGUAAGGUAACGGCUUACCAAGGCUACGAUGUCUAGGGGUUCUGAGAGGAUGAUCCCCCACACUGGUACUGAGACACGGACCAG